rnacentral:rRNA from 1 species
UACGUAGGGGGCAAGCGUUAUCCGGAAUCACUGGGCGUAAAGGGUGCGUAGGCGGCCAAUCAAGCCAGGGGUGAAAGGCUACGGCUCAACCGUAGUAAGCCCUUGGAACUGAAUGGCUUGAGUGCAGGAGAGGAGAGUGGAAUUCCUAGUGUAGCGGUGAAAUGCGUAGAUAUUAGGAGGAACACCAGUGGCGAAGGCGACUCUCUGGACUGUAACUGACGCUGAGGCAAGAAAGCGUGGGGAGCAAACAGG